CCGUAACGUCACUUCCCGCGGAAGUGUCCUGCUCGUGGAGACGGACGCCGGGCCCGGGACACGGCGGCAGCAGCAACCAGCGGGGGAUAGUCUUGAGGGUUGGGCCGACUUCAAAUCCCGCCUGAAGGGCAAGAGGUCUGCGGAGUGGAAUGCCUCGAGGGCAACUGGGGGAGGGCCAGCUGCCACUGUGGAGUACACAGAUCUGGAGGAGAUGGCGAUGGACUGUGUGAGCUACGAGGAGGGGGUAGGGGUGUCUCAUAUGGACACGGACCUGCCUGAAAUACUGAUGGCACAUGACUUGCCAGUGGAUGGCUGAUUGUUUCCUGAGUCAACUGAAAACCAGCCGCUCAGAGAAGAAAAAAAAAAUAAAAUUUGACCUUCCCAAAAUGGCCGCUGCUCCUCCCCCUUCCACCUCCAUGAGGGUCACACAAAAUGGUGGACAGACCAUGCGGCCUCUUGUCACAAAGAAAGUCAUCAUUCAAAACUCCUAAAGUUAUCCUAGGCCUGAGUGUGUAGUUGGCACCAAAUUGAAAUAAAAACCAGAUUU